GGAAAUUCCCCGGGCGUAACGGCAGAAAGUGUCUAAUCGAAUACCAGAGACUGUGCCGCUCGUUAUCGCGAAGACAUGAGCAUGUAGAGUGGGCCUUUCUCUGCCGUCAUAUCAAAGUUAUGCCAUUAACUACCCAACGGGGAUUAU
rnacentral:RNase_MRP_RNA from 1 species